AUUCCAUGAUGUGGACAUUUUCUUUGCAACUCUUUAAAACAUUCCCACGCAUCAUAUAAUGAGUCCCCAUCCAGGUGAUGAAAGUUAUUAAUUUCUCCUCUAUAUC